rnacentral:tRNA from 1 species
AGUUUUAUAGUCAAUAAAUGAUUUUAAAUUGCAAAUUUAAAGUAGUAAAUUUUUACUAAAACUU